UUACAUGAUUGGUUGCCAUGUCUGGUUCACGACAUGAAUAUAUAAUGCACGAGUUUGAGCCAACAUUAUAUCUACCUGAUGUCCCUCCUCUUUCAUAUCAUUUCAUUUCAUUUCCUUUCAAUGCAUAAAACGCAUUGCUAACGUCCAAGAUUCAUCUUGAUUUCUAUAGAAUCGAUCGAGCACCCCUUGCAUAUAUAGCUCCUGAUCGAUCUCUUGGCCUCCACCAUUCAAGAUGGAAUUAGCAGUAACCAUGCUAUUAAUACUGCUGAAUUUAGCAUCGUGGUGCGUGCUUUCAGAGGGCCGGCUUCUUGUGGACAUGACUCUGGUUUCCGAUGCUUCCAGCAUUGGUGCCUUUUGCUUGGAUGGAAGUUUGCCUGCGUAUCAUCUGCACAGAGGAUUCGGAGCUGGUGCAAGCAACUGGCUUUUGCAAUUUGAGGGAGGUGGGUGGUGCAAUGAUAUACAAUCAUGCUUGGAUCGAGCCAAAACGAAGCGUGGAUCUAGCCUUUACAUGAACAAGUUGGAGGAUUUCAAUGGAAUCCUAAGCAACGAUGCCUUACUUAAUCCAGAUUUUUAUAAUUGGAACCGUGUGAAGCUUAGAUAUUGUGAUGGAGGUUCGUUUUCUGGAGAUGCCAAAUUUGACAAUGGGACAUCAGUCCUUUACUUCAGAGGACAAAAGAUUUGGGAAGCAAUCAUUCUUGAUCUCCUCCCCAAAGGUUUGGGGAAUGCAGACAAGUUUCGAGCAAUCAUUCCGUCUCUUCUCCAGGCUUUGCUUUCAGGUUGCUCUGCUGGGGGUUUAUCAUCCUUUCUCCAAUGCGAAAACUUUUACCGGGCAUUACCGACGAAUACCAGUGUGAAAUGCUUGAGCGAUGCUGGAUUUUUUUUGGAUGAAAGAGACAUCACUCUGAACUACACCAUGAGGACCUUCUUUGAAAACCUUGUUUCUCUACAGGGAAUUGAAAAGAAUCUGGAUAAAAACUGCACUAGUUUCCUUGACAAUCCAAAACUGUGCAUGUUUCCACAGUAUUUCUUGAAUUACAUGACAACACCAUUCUUCAUCCUGAACACAGCCUAUGAUGUUUACCAAUUCCAUCAUGCAUUGGUUCCACCCUCUGCUGACAUGAAUGGAGACUGGAAGCGUUGCAAGCUUAGCAUAGCAUCAUGUACUCCACAGCAGCUUGACAUACUGCAAGGCUUCAGGGGUGAUAUGCUGGCAGCAUUGAGUUCAUUUCUCAAGGAUUCCACAAGCGGGGGAAUGUUUAUAAAUUCAUGCUUUGCUCAUUGCCAAAGUGAGACACAAGAAACAUGGUUUGCACUUGGGUCUCCGAGUAUCCAGGAUAAGGGCAUGUUUUAUCUGCUCAAGAAUUGUGGCCGGAUCACUCGAAUCAUCGAAAAUCCUAAAACCGGCAAUGUUUUAUGUAAAGGUUACCGCAACGAUUUCGACAUGCAAUGUCUCAUGUUUCCCUCUCUCUUUAGUUCAUUCUACCUUGUAGAACAUAAACUUUUUGGCACUGUAAGUAAAAUCUCGAGGACGUUUCACAGACUAUUGCAGGAGCAGUUGGUGAUUGGUAUUUUAGUAGAAAUAUAAGCAAGUUAAUCGACUGUGCGUAUCCUUGCGACGCUUCCUGCCAUAGCAUCAUUGCACAGGUUUCCUAGAAGGGCAAGAUAUAGAUGAAAUACAGAGAUUUUUACAGGCUUCAUUCUUUGAACUCUGGAGAUAUUAGAAAGAAAAGGAAGAGUAUACUGAAGGGAUACUGAAAGGAAGUGCAGAAAACAAUGGAGGGAGUUCACAGCAUUCUUUUUUACCAUAGAAGAAAUCAUAGAAUAGCUACACAGUUUAGAGAACCAAUCAACUAUAUAUAAUAAACCAAUGGACAACGUGUAUGAUCCACUCUAGUCAUUAUUAUUGUUGAUUUUUUUAAUUAUAACUAAAUUUAUUACAAUGAUAUAAAUUUUGGUGUGCCAUUUCAUUCA